ACUUUAAUUGAAGAGUUUGAUCAUGGCUCAGAUUGAACGCUGGCGGCAGGCCUAACACAUGCAAGUCGAGCGGCAGCGACUUAACUGAACCUUCGGGGAACGUUAAGGGCGGCGAGCGGGGACGGGUGA
rnacentral:rRNA from 1 species